UCUGUCUGUGUCUGUGCUGUUUACAUGCUCUCCCUCUGUCUGUGUAUGUCACCCUACAGUCCCCACCUUGUCAUGGACCUGUCCAGGCCGCAGCCCCUUUGUAUGCCCUGUAUUAUCUGAGGUAAGCUCAAGUACUGAAUACAUGCAAAAUAGAUGGAGUAUAAUAGCAUUAGCAACACUUCAUUUAAAUUUGAGCUUUUUUCAUGCUAUAGAUGCCACAUCGAUUGUUUGUACUGGUGGCAUGUUAACGCAAGAGAGCAUGAGGCUUCAGGCUGUGUGUGUGCAUGUGCUGCUUAAUGCUGUUAUUACGUUUGACAGGGAGAUGUCUGUUUACCUCAAGAAACAAUCAAUGUUAUUGACUUGGUUUUAUUGUAGGGCGCCCGGGUCAAGAGCUGCCGCUCGGCUUCGGAGGAAAAGCACGAUCAAAUAUUCCAGUGCUGGAAUCCCACAGCUCCAUUAAUUCCAGUGUUAUCGGCCAGUCACAUGUUCACGUCACACUGCGGUAUAAACACUGUCCAUUGCAGCCAAUUUAAAGUCCCAACAACUCACAAGAGUGGAGCACAGCCCUCAUCGGGAAUAUUUUUUAUUUGUGGGGAUAACAGGGCUGCAGAGGAAGAACCUUUACGUCUGAAAGGUUAAUGAGAAGGCCAAGGUUGCCUUGUGCGAAACCGAAUUCAGCCCUGCUGGUCCGGUAGCGGAAAAUUAGACAGCUAUUUUUGUUUUUCUUCCCCAUCUCCUUCCACGGUCAUGGUGCAGUCUCCACUAAUUAAACUGUUCUGCUCCACAGAGCUUCAGCCUUGUCCACAGGAGGCCGAAUCUGUCUCGUUUCCAUCAUCUAACACAUCCACUAUAAUUACUUUUGUUUACAGUGAAAUUGGCCCAGUCCGAUGCAAACGUGGCAAAGAGACAAUGUCUGCUUGGAUUUUGUGGAGUCCUUUCCCAGAGAUGAAUUAGGAUGAAUUACAGCUCAUGGGAGUGCAUGGCAAAUCGCUCACGGUGGCAAGGACAGUCUCAGCACUGUCAUCAUGCUGCCACCCUCUGCCUGGCCUGCUGGCAGUCCAGCUUGGUCCUUCAGAAAGGACAUGCAGGAGUCCCUUGUUCCUCGAGCUCUAAAUGUCCCACCACAGGUUGGCGUACAGGAGCUGGAAAUCACUUUUCCAUAGGCAUUGGAGUUCAGCAGAAACCGCGUCUCGGACUGAGAUGAGUAAGCAUCUCAGCUUUCACUGAAUAGGUGCAACAUCUGGAUGUACAAUCACUUUAUACGAACUCCUGAGGACUGGACCUAGGCUGAAGUGUAAUACUGACGCCACUUCGUCUCCGGAGAUGGACGGCUAUGCAGACACAGACAGCUGGCCUCCUUUGCCACAAUAUGUUUCUCAAAAGAAGAAAAGGCCCAGACAAUGGAAGAGUCCUGAGCUUUCAUCAGUGUGGUGCUGCACUUCCUCGUCAUUUCAUUCUUCGGCGGGGGGAGCCGGCGGGGUGGGGGGACGCAGAUCACUCUUCUGUCUCAGGAAGAGCCAGACUGCGGCCCCCCCAGUCCAUUUGUCCUGAUGCUGUCCCAGACUGAAAAGGAAGCCUAAUAUACCUGAAGAGUCAGUCAUACCAGCUCUGUGCAUUGAUGCAUAUACAUACAUGCAUUCAUGAUAUAGUAAAUACUGUAUAUGUAGUAAUAUAUACAUA